rnacentral:lncRNA from 1 species
AAAUAAAAAAAUAAAAAAAAGAAAAAGGCACUGUGUUGAUGCAGAGCUCAGUCUCAGCCAUGGCUCCCUAUUGUGGUUAAGCUGAAUCCCUUAGAUGAACAUUAUACAAUUUAGGGUUAAAAUAUGACACCAAGCUCAGCCAUCAGGCUGAUGGGACAUGAGACUAAUUAGUCCCAGGUCAGAGAGUAAGACCUAUUGUCAUGGUAGGGUUCCAUGUUAACUUCAAAGUCAGGUGAUGAUUAGGGUCAGGAGGUGGGUCAGAGUCAAGGUCAUUCAGCAGUGAACGUGUUUAGGGUAAAGUCAAAGCCAGUUCAAAGCCAAAGCCAUUAAAAUUAGGGUAAGUUAUGAUAAGGACAAUGGUUGAAAUCAGUCAAUUAAAGAUUACAUUCAUCUCAAGCUAAAGCAGGUUAAUAUCAGGAUGAUCAUCAGUUUUAGGAUGAAGGUCAAGCAGGUCAGAAGUCAAGGUCCAUUUUAAUGUCACAUACAAGGUCAAGACCAGUGGAACACAAUCAGAGGAAUAGAUGCCUGAUUUGCAGAGGUGAGCAUCACACAAGGGUCCACACCCUGUGGCCCAGUCACUGGGCCCCAAGCUGGAGAGAACUCUGCUCCUCUAGAGGACAAACACCUGAUGAGGCCCAAGCAAAAUAUAGGACCAGAGAAGAUUUAAGCCACCCAGCCAGGGUGGAAUUGCACUGUGGAUAAUCUCACAUUGUGCAGCAUCUGAACUUCUAAACUAUGCUAUUUUUAACACAUAAAGUACAUGCCAAGAGGAGCCACGAGGAAAGAAACCAGCUGAGGAGCCUGAGAAGUGGAAAUGUAGAAAAGUGUAGCAAAGUAGAAUUCAAGAUCUAACUCAAUGAGGCACUUCUGCAAAACCUAAAGUGACUCACGACCUGAACUACUACUAUUUUAAUAAAAUUGCUUCUAAGUGGCAACUAUUCCAUUCCAGGUGGGGGCUUACAUAUGUUGGAAUACAGGGCCUCUGCUGCCAAAUCUUCCUCUCCUGUGACAAAUGCAGAAUUACACAUCUAAGUGUUAGCAACUAGGUCAACUAAAAAUAAAACACAUAACACAUGACUAGGUUACAGUUACACCUACAGGAUAUGCAUGGCUCAGAGUCCCCAGCAGUUUCUGGCUGCUCUCCUAAAGGGACAAUGCGUUCUCCAUCCAUGGUCCUCAACCUCCAACAAUGUGAUUAAAAUACACCCACCCCCGCCCCCGGAAAAAAAAACAAACAAAAAAAAACUAGGGACAGGCACUACAGGACCAGAUAUGAGAGGGCCUUUCUGCCUUGAAGCACCACACGUGCCCAUUUAUGGAGGGCUCUCUUGCUUGAUAAGGCAUUGACUAUGAUUAGCUCAUGUGGUCUCUACUGAGCCAAGGCUCUUGAAGAAGGAAAAAAAGACUCUGGCAAAGGCAGAUGAUCAUUGUUCUUGUUCAAUUUUAUUGGCAUUGCGUUCAUCUCUUUACAGAAGAACUCAGCCCACACC